ensembl:lncRNA
GCCAGUGAUGUCUCAAUACGAGACCAGGGCGUGUUUAGUCGCGCGCACGCGUUCAACAAGGCGCGUUCUUUUUAAACAUUUAACACUAUUUACAAGAAAGGGAAAAAAAUUUCAAAAACGAUCGAAAGUACAAACUAACGGUAGGCGAAAUCGGUUUUUAAUGCGUAGUUAGCUCAGUGAUAGCUAGCUGUAACUCAUGAUCAGCGUCACUACGUGCUGGUUCUGAGCGUUUGUUUGUUUGUUCUUAGAAGUAUAAAACUUUUUUUUUUUUUUUUUUUUUUGUCCACAAGGCACAGCACACAACGCAGCGUCCAUAAUCCCAGCAAUUAUAUUUAAUCUGCACUUAGACGUCCCACAGCCUCUCAGGUAGAAUUUGGCUAGUUCAUGCACUUUAAUAGCUAGUAAUCAGAGAGUGAGGAACGCAAUCACGGCACGUUGUAACUAUCAAGCACAAAAAAAAAAAAAAACGGAAAAGAAGGCGGCCUGAUGCGUGCUCUCUCUGAUCCUUGAAACGAGAACGGAGAGAGUCGUUUCCGAUUGACGUUUCGUAAUAGAAAAAUGUUUUCAUUUUUGAAGUCCCUGAAUUUCUUUCUUUUUCUUGAAAAAAAAAAAUUUUUUUUUUUAUUAAAGGCCAGAUUGCUUCUAAGACACUCGUGUAAUCCCUCUUCAGCUUCUCCUCAUCCGAAGCUGUCGCUCGACUUUAGGAGCAGAUCACGUUUCUCCCCGCUUCAUUUCUGUGCUCUGUCGUGCAGAAGGCUGUGAUCGCACAGCUAGUGAAAUAUACCCUCACCGUCACCGGCCAAUCGUGUGGUAGCAGCGCAAUGCAUCAAACCGUGCAGCUUCAGUUAACGUCCAUGUCGAAUUUCAUGACGGGGGGCCACAUCUGGUACCAACACCCAUGCCACGGUUAAACUCGCAGAGAUCAGAUUUUCCCCCAUUCUGAUGUUUGACGUGAAGAUUUUAUGACUUGUGCUACUGCCACAUGUUUGAAGGAUCGGAUAAUCGCAUAAGCGAGCAGGUGUACAGGUGUUCCUAUUAAAGUGGACAGUGAGUGUAGAUCAAUUUGAUUGUAUUCAAGGUUUUUUUUUUUUUUUUUUUUUUUUUUGCAGUGCUUCCUUAUAUUCUUGCGUUUUGAGUUUUUCCCCACACUACUAGACUAUGAAUGUUUUGUUUUUUUUUCCUCAACCUGCUGUCCUUCCAGCUCUUAAAGACCAAGAUGCUUGUUUAAAGCACUUCGAUCACAUCAUCUCCGUCUAAAGUGAGCACUUUUCGAGUACUUGCGCCGCAAUCCGCCGGACCCGGAACGCGAUUUUUCACCCGGGUUCGGAUCUAAACGCGCCUGAGGCUCAGCGCGACGUCGUAUUCGCGUGCCUAAUCUCUGAAUUCGCUUAACGGAUCGAUCGAGAUGUGUGUGAAACGAUUUCUCCGUGAUCGGAGACGUGGAAACGACCUGGCGUCUUCCGGCGGCGUCCAAAUCGACGGAACCGCGUUACAAAUCUAAACGUCCGAAGUGUCUCCCAACACGUUUUCGCCACACAGAAGCCGCACGUCAAGUUAAAAAGCAAAUUCUUUCACGUAGAAAACGACGCAAAGGGAAAUCGUCGCGACGUCAGCCGCGUUUAUGUCCGACGUGGAGAUGUUGCCCGAGUUUCGUUGCACUUUUCCGUAGGUCAGGGUUUGUUUCUUUCUUCUUUUUUUUUUUUUCUUUUUCUUUUCUCCUGGAAUUCCCAGUAUGACGGAUUGCACCAUUAGGAACGUUUGUGAUGCCUGUGCUGCACUGUGACCUUUUUAGGAAGUGGGGAAACUUAGUAAUCGCGAUCGCGGCAUUUUUUUCGACGUGCGUACGAGUUACGGAAAAAUCGGGAAUAAAAACUUCUCGCUCGCUGAACUCAGUAGGAAUUCGGAUAUGAUGGGGGGGGGGGGGGGGGGUGUUUUCUUUGUUUUGUGUGUUUGUUUGUUUGUUUUUUUUCCUAGCUUCAUUCGAACAAGACGGAUCCAAAAAAAUAACCUCCCCACACACACACACACACACACACACACACACACGAUGAAGACAUGAUGAUUGUUACAUUCAGGACCGGACGGUUUAGAUGUAGCGCUGAACGACGUGCCUUGAUCCCAAACGAACUCUGAACUUCUUACUUAUUAACCGAACUAAGUACCGCCCCCCCCCACCGCGGUCUUCCGUCGCUCUGCUUUGCACCUUGAGAUAAACGACAAACCAGCAACGACCGUCUCGUCAGCACCUUUCUAUUCCAAAUAACAGCAACCCCGGCACGUCCCGCACGAAGCCCCGACAGCGAAUCGAUUCUGAAAAGCUUUACAUAUAACCAAAUAUCUCGUAGUUUGCGACACCCCUCCUCCGCCGCGUGUUACGCAUUUCAUCCCGCGACUCAGUGUUUCGCUUUCCGAAUGCUCCGUUAAUCCGUUCCGUUCCAUCCUGCGCCCCGUUUCGUGCGGUUCUCUCCGCGAUCGGCCCGAGUUCUAGCGCACCGAGGCCGCUCGUGGAUCGCCGCGGUACAAAAACCUACGAAACAAACAGCGUAAACUGGAGUCUUUUAUAUACGUGUUUUAAACUCCCGUGUGUUUCGGUUGAAGACUGGAAUCUGAAUGUGUGGAAAAGCAAACGCUUUCCUUUCAACAGCGUGCACUGUAUCUGUAGCUGAGUUGUGAAUUGUUACAUGGAAACACUAAGGUAUCUCGAAUUUUUUUUUUUUUUUUUUUUUUUAUAAAUAAACUCAACUGGAAGUCUUACCUUGUAGAAGAGCCGGUCUGGAGGAGCGCCACGCUACACAGGAUGUAAUCCAGACAUCGGCCGUGAUGGAUUUACCUCCUCGGUGCUCUUUUGCUGUCCGAGACUCUGACGCGAGGCGCUUCUCUAACGUUCUGAUCGUUCUAACUGUUGGAAUCACGUCAAAACAUGUAGAACUUUUUUUUUUUUUUUUUUUUUUAAGAGAGAAAUAAAAGAAAAUCACGACAUGAAUGAGUUGUUAUCAAUAUAGACUUACGAUAGGAUUCCUGUUUUGAUGCGUUUGAUGUUUGUUUGAUUUUUGUUUUUUGUUUUUGAAUCCAGCAACGAUGGAAAAAGAACCGGGUCUUUCCACUAAAGGCGAGGCGAUUUUUGAGAAACGCAGCAUGUAUUUAUUGCACUUUUGUGAUUUGGGUGUGCUAUUUUUAUUUGUAUUUUUUUUUUUUUCCUCCUCCUUUCCUUGUGAGACUUAUGAAAGCUGUGAAUUUUUCCCAUCGACACUGUACUGUCAACGAAAAAUUGUAAAUAUGUCACCAGCACAAGAACAUGUUUUGUAGUUUCACAACAAAUAUAAAAAAAAAUGGUUCUUUGC